GAAAAUAUUUCAAUAUCUUUUUCUUAUAUAUUCAAACAAUUGUCAACAAAUUAUUUGUGACUUUUUGUCCUAUCAAAUUUGUGACUUUAUGUCCUGUGACUUUCUGUCCGUUUACCGAUUUUUAAAACUGAAUCACUUUGUGUACUGUUUAUUGUAUAUUUUAGAAUGGCCUCCUAUAGUACACUAGAUCCAGAGCAGAUUAUUGUGUGUCCUUUAGACAAAAACCACGAAAUGCCAGCCAAGCGCUUGCAGUACCAUUUGAUAAAAUGUAGAAGGAAUUUCACAGGGAUAGAAUUUGCCACAUGUCCUUUCAAUGCCAGACAUGUGAUGCCCAAGCGGGAUAUAAGAUACCACAUAGCUAACUGUCCCGACAAGGCCAUGCUAGAACCUAUACUCAGUUAUGAGCUGUCAAAGAACCAUGAGGGAGGGAAACAUUUCAAAGGUUGUACAGAUCUCCCUAAGUAUGAAGACCAGAGUAGACCUAGGUCUGCUGAAAACUGGGAUGAAGAAAUACCGGAUAAUCCCAGAAUUGGAGUAGAUCCAGCAUACUUUGCUAAAAUGGAAUACAAAGAUCUGUCUGGAAUGAGUAGAUCCGAGAAGAAGGCUGUGAGAGGUCAAUACUAUCUACCCCCAGAUCAGAGAACUUACCCACUACAAGAAGCACAAAAAGAGGAGGUAGAAGAAGAUCUCCCUAAGCCACAUUCCAAGAUGUCAAAGUUCAUGGUUGCACAGCCUCCACAACAACAAUCACAAGUGUUGUCAUACAGUCUGGCUAUGGCAGGCAUUGGCAGAGGUAGAGCUGCAAUGAGUCAGCCAAAUUAUUCAACAGCUGGAAGAGCACAUAAGAUAGCAGCUGUAGGUCGGGGAAGAGUGGAAAGUGUGCCAGAAGGGGCCAUAGGGAGGGGAUCAUCUUUGAACAACUUUGCUCAGGCUAUAGAUUGGACUACACUGUCACAAGGUAUUGGCAUGAUAAGUACUAGAGAGAAAUCAAAAGCAGUACUACCAGAUUUGUGCAAAAUUCCCCUGUGGCAAAGGGUUACAAUAAUGCAGUAAUUGCAGAUGCUAAGAAAAAACAGAUCAAGAAAAAAGUAGAAAGGAUAUACAUUUAACAAGUACUAGAUUAUCAGAGAUUGAUUGUUGUUUAUUUACCAUCAAAGGUCGAAAGACAUAAAAGGAGACGUCAGUUGUGAAGUGCAAGAAACCUAGAGCUAGUGUUAAAUUUCAAAUAAACCAUAAUAAUUGACUUGUUUAUAAAACUUUAUGCUACUCUUUUCAUGUUUUGCUCGAAAAAGAGAAAACAAAGGACAGCGAUGUAAUCAACUUGAGGUCACCUAUUCAAGCCUUCAAGAAGACUUUUUGCAAUCAUGGUGUUUUUUACUAAUGAGUUUGAAUAUCUUA